CCCAGAACUCAGAUGGUGAUCUCACGGGGCUGGGGGAAUGGAAUCCAUUUAUUGAAUUUAAUGCGACUUUGGAGCGUGCCUUGCUAUUGGAUUGCAUCAAAGUUAUCAUUUUCCCCUUGAAUGUGAGUGGUUUUUUUUAAAUAGCCAUCCAUAAAAUCCCAGGGAGUAUACAUCUUAAUUAAAUUGAAAUAUUAAAUGUA